UACAGAGGUCCCAAGCGUUUGUUCGGAUUCACUGGGCGUAAAGGGUGCGUAGGUGGUGGGGUAAGUCGGAUGUGAAAGCUCGGAGCUCAACUCCGAAAUGGCAUUGGAAACUACCCUGCUAGAGGAUUGGAGGGGGGACUGGAAUACUUGGUGUAGCAGUGAAAUGCGUAGAUAUCAAGUGGAACACCAGUGGCGAAGGCGAGUCCCUGGACAAUUCCUGACACUGAGGCACGAAAGCUAGGGGAGCAAACAGG
rnacentral:rRNA from 1 species